rnacentral:rRNA from 1 species
UGGGGAAUAUUGCACAAUGGGCGCAAGCCUGAUGCAGCCAUGCCGCGUGUAUGAAGAAGGCCUUCGGGUUGUAAAGUACUUUCAGCGGGGAGGAAGGGAGUAAAGUUAAUACCUUUGCUCAUUGACGUUACCCGCAGAAGAAGCACCGGCUAACUCCGUGCCAGCAGCCGCGGUAAUACGGAGGGUGCAAGCGUUAAUCGGAAUUACUGGGCGUAAAGCGCACGCCGGCGGUUUGUUAAGUCAGAUGUGAAAUCCUCGGGCUCAACUUGGGAACUGCAUCUGAUACUGGCAAGCUUGAGUCUCGUAGAGGGGGGUAGAAUUCCAGGUGUAGCGGUGAAAUGCGUAGAGAUCUGGAGGAAUACCGGUGGCGAAGGCGGCCCCCUGGACGAAGACUGACGCUCAGGUGCGAAAGCGUGGGGAGCAAACAGG